rnacentral:lncRNA from 1 species
AGAUUUCAUAGGGUUAGAGUAUAAGAGCCAUCUAUAAAAAUAAAAAAUAAAAACAACCUCAAAACAGACGUAUUUUGCUUUGCUUUUGCUCUGAGAGGGAGGCUUGUGUUGUGGGCGUUGAUUCAGUUACUGGCGGUCUCUAAUUCGCUUGGUGCAGGUCGGGAACUGCUUCGCGUUUAGGGCCUUUUUUUCGUACAAGACCUAUGAGCCAGGUGGCGCCAUGGUAUUGGUCGGUGGGUGCGAAAUGGGUCCCGCCUUGCAUCAACUGAAUCGGAGACCGCGGUGAAGAGGGGGGUUGGGUUGUUUGGUGGUUCAUGGAUCUCGCGUUUUUUGCUUUUGCUCGUUUCUCAGAUCUCAUCUCAGGUUGGCCACUUCCAACAAAUAUAUAUCUAUAUAUCUAUAUAUCUAUGUAUCUCUAAUCUGUAUAUAUUCUUAAUUAAUUAACAAAAAUUUUGGGUAAUAAAAACAUAAAAUUUUAAUUACAUGGGUGGAAAAUCAAUAGAUCUUUACCCAUUUCAUUAUAUGCUAACACAGAAAACACUAAUUUCCUAUUGUUUUAUCUGGAAUAGGUUUUUUUUUUUUUUUUUUUUUUGCUUUUGUUGUAAGGGAAAUAGUUUUGGUUUCUUGUUUUCUCUUUCGUUGCUGUGCUUUUCUUUUAUGAUUUUUUUCCCGUAGUUUAGAUUAGAUUAAAGUAGAAUAUCGUAUGUAUCCACAUCUAAUUGUUGGAUCGAUAAAGUUGGUAAUUAUUCCAAUUUCCACUACAAGAUUUUGCUUUCGCUUUCGAUUAUCUUUUUAGGUACGUGACAUCACUAUUAUUCUCAUUAAUUUUGGUUUUAUGGAAUUUAUUUUACAUUUUCAGUUAGGCAAGAGUAAUUAACUGCAUUAAAAAUAAAUUUAAUAGCAUAGAGAGUAAUAAAUUGUGCCUCCAAAUGUUUUUUUUAUUUUCAUUUCCAAAUUGUGUUGCUACAUCAGGGGGAAAGCCUUUCUCUUUCUUUAAAGCCUACAUCAGGGGGCAAAUUGUGUUUGCCCGUCUUGUUUAAAGUAGAGUUAAAAGUAUAUAGUUGCGCUAUUUCAAUCCAUUUUUAUUUUCACACACACUUUUUAAUUUUGUUUCAAGUACAAAAAUCGGGAAAUGAGCACGCUCCUUUACACCCGAGUACGAAUCUCCCUUACUUGUAGAUUAGAUUAAUUUAGAGUUGUUUAAACUAUUGCUUAUGUAAAAUGUCUUGAAUUUUAAUUGGCACUGCUAUUUUAUUUAUGUAUUUGUUUUGCAAAGCCGGUUACUAUUAGCUAAGUCCCUCCUCAGCUUUUGUAAUAAUAGAUAGAUAGUUACUUUUUCGGGGAAAAUUGAGAAAAGCACAGAAUCUUUCAAAAGAAUGAAUGGGUUGUUAAGCGGUCAUAUGAAAAGGAAAAAAAGCAUCCUGUGUUCGGACACUAGGGUGUAGGAUUUUUACUAAAAGGGGCUGCAGAAAACCCUUCCAUAGAAAGUCCGCAGUGCCCAAAAAGAAUAAAUAUAAAAGAAAAUACAAGUUGUAGUUUUUAUUUGUUGAAAUAUUAUUCUCUAACACUCUUUUUUUACCACUUUGGGAGUGCACUGCACAUACCUAAAACAUAAGUCCCGAAAAAGCUUCGCCCUCCUCAGCGACUUAUUUCUGCAGUUUGGGAUAUUCGACAACUUCUACCAGAUACUUCUCAUACUUUGCGGCGUAUGUUUAUGGGAGCUAAUUCGGUGGUGGAUGCCUUUGAUUACCAUAUUAAUAGUUAGUCAUCGUCAAUGAAAUAUAGUUCAGUUGGUUGAAUUUUCCACCUUCUCUAAUAUGUGGAUAGAUCUCGAUAAAUAUUUGUGUGUAAACUCACCUUUCCCAAUUAAAGAGAAUACCACCGCAGCUAAUCUAAUGAAAUCAGUCGAUCCCUGAAAAUAAACAUCGAUAGACUCUUCAUCACAAGAUCAGCGGCAUAUCCUCUAAGAAUUGAUUUGUAAUUUAUUCUGUAAUACCGAGACCAAAAUCAUCUUGGUCAGUUCGAUUGCUUUGUACUUCUCUCAUCUUCCGUCUUCCUUCUUGAGUUUGUUUUCUUUCAUCAAUCGCUUGUGCUAAAUAUAAAAAAAAAGUUUGUAAUCAGCGUUCUUACAUUUUUAGAGAACCUCUAUGUAAUCUGCUGUGAUUCUUAUUAUUCAAUCUUUCCUUUUUACAAGUCAAUUUUAUCCACAAACACAACAAAAACAAAGACAUAACUUAAAAGGAGAACAAAACAAAAAUCCCAAC